CCAAUACCCGGUGCGGGCACCCUAGAUUUAUCGGGGUGGUUCGUAGCGGGUGGACGCGGGGGGGACAUAUUUCACAGCGUGUCCCGGGCCCGACCCCGCAUGUUACUCCUGUGCCUACUCCUACUCUCCGUAGGGGUAGGCAUCUUCCUGCUUCCCGCUCGGUAAGU
rfam:Hepatitis C virus subtype 6e N12-2804-Cam gene for polyprotein, complete cds